AUUGGGUUGGCCAAAAAGUUCGUUUGGGUUUUUCAGUACCCUGUUAUGGAAAAACCUGAACGAACUUUUUGGCCAAC
rnacentral:miRNA from 1 species